ACGUGAGAAACCAACCCCGGUCUCUGGGAUAACAGUUGGAAACGACUGCUAAUACUGGAUGUCGUCGUACCCUCGCAUGGGGGGAUGACGAAAGGGUUACCGGAUCGGGACGGUCUCGCGGCUUAUCAGCUUGUUGGGGAGGUAACGGCUCACCAAGGCUUCGACGGGUAGCUGGUCUGAGAGGAUGAUCAGCCACACUGGGACUGAGACACGGCCCAGACUCCUACGGGAGGCAGCAGUGGGGAAUCUUGCGCAAUGGGCGAAAGCCUGACGCAGCAACGCCGCGUGCGGGAUGAAGGCCUUCGGGUUGUAAACCGCUUUUAACAGGAACGAAAAUGACGGUACCUGUAGAAUAAGGUGCGGCCAACUACGUGCCAGCAGCCGCGGUGACACGUAGGCACCAAGCGUUGUCCGGAUUUAUUGGGCGUAAAGAGCUCGUAGGCGGUUCAGUAAGUCGGGUGUGAAAACUCUGGGCUUAACCCAGAGACGCCACUCGAUACUACUGUGACUAGAGUUCGGUAGGG
rnacentral:rRNA from 1 species